rnacentral:rRNA from 1 species
GAUGAACGCUGGCGGCGUGCUUAACACAUGCAAGUCGAACGGAAAGGCCCAAGCUUGCUUGGGUACUCGAGUGGCGAACGGGUGAGUAACACGUGGGUGAUCUGCCCUGCACUUCGGGAUAAGCCUGGGAAACUGGGUCUAAUACCGGAUAGGACGAUGGUUUGGAUGCCAUUGUGGAAAGUUUUUUCGGUGUGGGAUGAGCUCGCGGCCUAUCAGCUUGUUGGUGGGGUAAUGGCCUACCAAGGCGUCGACGGGUAGCCGGCCUGAGAGGGUGUACGGCCACAUUGGGACUGAGAGACGGCCCAGACUCCUACGGGAGGCAGCAGUGAGGAAUAUUGCACAAUGGGCGCAAGCCUGAUGCAGCGACGCCGCGUGUGGGAUGACGGCCUUCGGGUUGUAAACUCCUUUCGCUAGGGACGAAGCGUUUUUGUGACGGUACCUGGAGAAGAAGCACCGGCUAACUACGUG